AAGAACUUAGUUAAUUUAUAAUAUAGAUUUGUCAAGUCUAAGUUGCAAAAGCAUUUCUUU
rnacentral:tRNA from 1 species